CUAAUUAACAUUUUACAUUUCGACUAAAAGACAUGUCCGCUUCCGCUAUGGUAUGUUUGUUAUAUAUGGCAUUAUUAAAAAAAUAUAUGAAAUUGGCGCCAUUAUUGAACUUUACGUUACAUUUAUUUGUCUUUAAAGUUUCACAAUAAUAUCUGCAUUUUGAUUACAUUUUUAUUAACUUGCGUUAUUCUCGUGAUAUUUCAGUGUUAUGCAGUCUGCAAAUUCAAAAAACCAUAUAGAUGCUAAAAGCAGUGAUUUUCAGGAUACAUUACUAGAUGAAAUUGCAAAUGACUUGACAAGACUAAAAAAAUAUAUUACAAUUAUUACAAAGAGACGAAUGAUCGGAAGUGAAAUGGAGGUGGAAACAGCUGCCAUGUACCAUGCUCAGCUUUGGCACCAACUUGAAGAAGCAAAAGAUAAUAUUGUUAAAUCAGAAAACUUUCACCAAUAGAGAUAAUAAUAAUAAUUAUUAAAUGUUAUAGACAAACC